GGAUGCUGUUACUGCCCAGGGUUUGGAUCUCAUCGCUACCAUAGACUGUUGGAGUUUCAAGGGUGGAGAUCCGCCAUUGCUUUUUCCAUAUCCGCAGAAAUUCCUUUCACAUGAAAUGUGAGUCUGUUGGGUUCCCCCCCGAGACCAGCGGUGGAAGAAGAAGCUGGAGGUGGCUGAUGAGACACUUCAUGCUGGACCAAGAAACGGGGACUCGGGGUUGAGUCCACAUGUGCCAUUUGUGGGGACGCCGUGCAUUCCCCAGUUUGCCGCUCUCUGUUUCAAAUUCUUUCACUCGAUGCUGUUGUGGGCAUGAAGUCAAAGCAGGCAUGUGUGAGACAGUGCUUUGUAAAACAUAAGGCACGGAACAAGUUUAGAACAGGAAGAGUUGAAGCUGGAUUGACGCAAUUACCAAAAAUAAAAUUAGCUGAGGGUGUCAGCGAUGAGCCAUGGAACUUUUAAUAAUCAUC
rnacentral:lncRNA from 1 species